rnacentral:lncRNA from 7 species
GAAGGAUGUGGGGGGGGGCGGCGGGCGGCGGCCGCGGGGCUGUGGGGCGCACGCGGCGCUCCUCUCCCCCCCCCCCACCACAACCGCUCCCCCCCCCCCCGCCCCCAACCCGGCUCGGCCCCCCCCGCUGCUGUCCGCUCCCCCGCUCCGCUCCUCCCGGCCCGCAGCUGCCCGCCCGGCGCCGCCCCCACGGAGCCCCACCCCACGCCCACCCCGCCCCCCCCGCCCCCCCCCGGCCCGCAGCCCACCCCCCGCUCCGCACCGCGGGGACCCCCGGGGCGGUUGGGGACCCCCGGCGGAGCCCCGGGCGGCUACGAGGGCCCUACGGGGGACCUACGGGGACCCCACGGGGAUCCAUCGGGACCCACCGGGACCCCACGGGGACCCCACGAGGACCCGCGGAGACCCUCGGGGCGGUUCGGGGACCCCCCGGACCCCCCCCGGCCGCGGUUGGGGCGGAAUCCCCGUUUUGGGGCGCUCCGCAUCCCGUUGCUGUGGCGACGGCGGCGCUGCGGAGGUGACGCCGCGAUGGCUCCGAGCGGCAGCGCCGCCCCCGAGGGGUCCCCGGGAGGGAGAGGGGCGGGGAUGGGGGGGACAUGUGGGAUGUGGGGCAGAUGUGGGGCGGGGGGACACUGUGGGGUGUGGGGACACAUAUGGGGUGUGGGACAGAUGUGGGGCAGGGGGACACAUAUGGGGUGUGGGACAGAUGUGGGGCGGGGGGACACAUAUGGGGUGUGGGACAGAUGUGGGGCGGGGGACACAUAUGGGGUGGGGACAGAUGUGGGACGGGGGACACAUAUGGGGUGUGGGACAGAUGUGGGACAUCGGGGCAAAUGUGGGGCGGGGGACACAUAUGGGGUGUGGGGACACAUAUGGGGUGUGGGGACAUGAAUGGGUGUGGGGACAGAUGUGGGAUGUGGGGACAGAUGUGGGGUGUGGGGACAGCUGUGGGGUGUGGGGACAGCUGUGGGGUUUGGGGACACGAAUGUCACGCAGUGACAGCUGUGGGUGUGGGGGACGCAUUGGGGGGUUUUGGGGACCCCUCCGGGUCGCAGUGCCGCGUGGGGACCCCAUAUGUGGCACAACCCCCCCCCCCCCCCCAUAUCGCGCGUGACGGAGCCGACAGCGUCGCCAUGGCAACGCACCCACGGCGACACCCACGCGUGGGCCCCCCCUCCCCCCCCCCACCAUUUGUCCCUUUUUGUCCCCUCUGUCCCCCCCCAUCCCCGGAGGCGGCGCUGCUCCCCCCCCCCCCCCCCCAAAUCCAUCCCAGUCCAUCCCAGUGCCCCCAUAUGGGAAGCGGUGCCCCAUCUCAGGUCGGGGGAGGGGGGGGGGGGGUCUCCACGUGCCACACUGUGGGGUCACCACGUGCGACCCCCCCGGAACCUCAGUGUCCCCCCCACGACAAACACCGACCCCCCCCCAAUCCAUCCCAGUCCAUCCCAGUCCAUCCCAGUCCCCCCCCAGUGCCCCAUAUAGGAAGCGGUGCCCCCAUCACAGCUUGGUGGGGGUCUCCAUGUGCUGUGGGAUCACCACGUGGGACCCCCCCACAACCUCUGCGCCCCCCCACGACAAACACCGACCCCCCCAAUCCAUCCCAGUCCAUCCCAGUCCAUCCCAGUACCCCCAUAUAGGAACCGCCGUUCCCAUCGCGGGGGGAGGGGGGUUGGUGGGGGAACGCGGGACCCCCCCGGACCUCAGUGCCCCCCCCCCCCCCCAUUGCCCCCAUGGAUAUGGGGGUUCCGGGGGGAGGGGGGGGGGGUUCGGAUUUGGGGGUCUCAGUGCCCCCCCCCUUUCCGGGCAGCGCCGUGCGGGCGCGUAGCAACGCGGCAUCCCCGCAUCCCGUCGCCAUGGCAACCGCGGGAGAUGCCGGCGGACGGCGGGGGGGGGGCGGGAUGGGGGGGGUUCAGAACCGGGGGGGGGUCGUGGGAGGGGGGGGGGGGGGCACCGACCCCAUCGACGUCACCGCGCCGCACCCGCAUGGGGGGGUCGGGGGGGGGGGGAGGGGACCCCCGCGUUACCCCCACGCGUGGGACCGAACCGCCACGGCGGCACGAGGGGGGGGGAGGGGGGGUUGGAGGGGGGGGGGCGGGGGGGGGCAGCGACCGCCGGAGAUGAGGAAACGGCGACGUCAGCGACCGCAGCGCUGCGACGGCAGCACCGGAAACCGCCCCAACUGCGGCGCCGCAGCCCCUCCCCCCCCACGGCCCCCACAGCCCGAACC